CAUCCUGAUUAAUGCUGAACACAGCUGUGUCCUCCAGGUACACAGAAAGGGGUUCACCAGGGACAAUGAAUAUACUGCUUUGAUUAUAUCCCAUGUGUUGAUGGAUAUAUGUCAGAGAAACCAGGCCAAAGGGAAUAUGAUACAUGCAGUGAAGAUAUCACAGUACUGUCAUCCAUGCUGUUCAUAGGCAAGCCAUGCAACUGGUCCAGCAUGGCCCUCUAGAUCACUCUGGAACUGGGCUUUUGCUUUGUUUGUCUUCCAUUCUUGGAAAGACUAUUUUACUCAUUUUGCCUAUAGGAUUUCUGUAUCCAAAAACUGUCCUGUAUCUAUGCACCCCAUUUUUCAAAAAUUGAUUGUACUGAUCUGUGUUGUAGGGGAGAUUUAAUGUAUGUGCAGUAUACUUGGUGUUGGACUUUCCAAGGAUGUUCAAGAACAUUGAAAUUCAAAAUGCAAAGAUCAUCUUUGAAUGCAGUAAAGGUUCUACACAGUUUCUGUGCUCCAUAUUUGGGUUUGAUGUUCUCCUGGCUCUGCUGUGUUUUCUUACAACUUUUGUGGCUUGACAGCUGCCAGACCAGAUAACUAUUAUGAAGGUAAAUGUAUCACUUUUGGAAUGCUGGUCUUUUUCAUUGUCUGGAUCUCUUUUGUCCCUGCUUACUUGAGCACUAAAGGCAAAUUCAAAGUGGCUGUGGAAAUAUUUGCCAUUUUAGCAUCCAGCUAUGGCUUGUUAGGCUGUCUAUUUCUUCCCAAGUGCUUAAUUAUCUUGCUGAGGCCAAAGAGGAACACUGAUGAAAGAGUUGGUGAAAGAGUCCCCACUGUUGACAAGAACAUCCAGCUGACUUCAGCUUCAGUGAACAGUGAGUGUGACAACAUCAAAGAGUCCAAUUUUCUGGAUGAGUAG
rnacentral:lncRNA from 1 species